rnacentral:rRNA from 1 species
UACGUAGGGGGCAAGCGUUGUCCGGAAUCAUUGGGCGUAAAGAGCGCGUAGGCGGCCCGGUAAGUCCGCUGUGAAAGUCAAAGGCUCAACCUUUGAAUGUCAGCGGAUACUGCCGGGCUAGAGUCCGGAAGAGGCGAGUGGAACUCCUGGUGUAGCGGUGGAAUGCGCAGAUAUCAGGAAGAACACCAACGGCGAAGGCAGCUCGCUGGGACGGAACUGACGCUGAGGCGCGAAAAGCGUGGGGAGCGAACAGG